UCAAACUUGGUCAUUUAGAGGAAGUAAAAGUCGUAACAAGGUCUCCGUUGGUGAACCAGCGGAGGGAUCAUUACCGAGUUUACAACUCCCAAACCCCUGUGAACAUACCUUACAGUUGCUUCGGCGGACCACCCUCGCCUCGCCGCGAGGGCCCGCCAGAGGACCCCAAACCCAACUUUGUUUUUGUCUUAUACAACGAAUUCUGAGUGGAUUUUAUAAAUCAAAUCAAAACUUUCAACAACGGAUCUCUUGGCUCUGGCAUCGAUGAAGAACGCAGC
rnacentral:misc_RNA from 1 species